UUCAGGUUGAUCCUGCCGGACCUGACUGCUAUCUGAUUGGUACUAAGCCAUGCGAGUCGUUGUACAAUACAAGGCGGACUGCUCAGUAACACGUAGUUAACUUAACCUAUGGAUGGGAAUAACCUCGGGAAACUGAGAAUAAUACCCAAUGGGCCACAGUGCCUGGAAUGGCCUGUGGUUGAAAUGAUUUAUCGCCGUAGGAUAGGACUGCGGCCUAUCAGCUUGUUGGUGAGGUAAUGGCCCACCAAGGCUAUAACAGGUACGGGCUCUGAGAGGAGGGGCCCGGAGAUGGGUACUGAGGCACGGACCCAGGCCCUAUGGGGCGCAGCAGGCGAGAAACCUUUGCAAUGUGCGAAAGCACGACAAGGUUAAUCCGAGUGUCUCCUGCUAAAGGAGUCUUUUGUCAGUUGUAGAAUCACUGGCGAAUAAGGGGUGGGCAAGUUCUGGUGUCAGCCGCCGCGGUAAAACCAGCACCUCGAGUGGUCAGGAGGUUUAUUGGGCCUAAAGCAUCCGUAGCCGGUUGCAUAAGUUUUCGGUUAAAUCUAUGCGCUCAACGUAUAGGCCGCCGAAAAUACUGUGCAGCUAGGGAGUGGGAGAGGUACACGGUACUCAGUAGGAA
rnacentral:rRNA from 1 species